GAUGAACGCUGGCGGCGUGCCUAAUACAUGCAAGUCGAGCGAACAGACGAUGAGCUUGCUCCUCUGAUGUUAGCGGCGGACGGGUGAGUAACACGUUGAUAACCUACCUAUAAGACUGGGAUAACUUCGGGAAACCGGAGCUAAUACCGGAUAACAUGUUGAACCGCAUGGUUCAACAGUGAAAGACGGUCUUGCUGUCACUUAUAGAUGGAUCCGCGCCGCAUUAGCUAGUUGGUAAGGUAACGGCUUACCAAGGCAACGAUGCGUAGCCGACCUGAGAGGGGGAUCGGCCACACUGGAACUGAGACACGGUCCAGACUCCUACGGGAGGCAGCAGUAGGGAAUCUUCCGCAAUGGGCGAAAGCCUGACGGAGCAACGCCGCGUGAGUGAAGAAGGUCUUCGGAUCGUAAAACUCUGUUAUUAGGGAAGAACAAAUGUGUAAGUAACUAUGCACGUCUUGACGGUACCUAAUCAGAAAGCCACGGCUAACUACGUG
rnacentral:rRNA from 1 species